rnacentral:rRNA from 1 species
GACGAACGCUGGCGGCGUGCCUAAUACAUGCAAGUAGAACGCACAGUUUAUACCGUAGCUUGCUACGCCAUAAACUGUGAGUUGCGAACGGGUGAGUAACGCGUAGGUAACCUGCCUGGUAGCGGGGGAUAACUAUUGGAAACGAUAGUUAAUACCGCAUAAUAUUAAUUAUUGCAUGAUAAUUGAUUGAAAGAUGCAAUUGCAUCACUACCAGAUGGACCUGCGUUGUAUUAGCUAGUAGGUGAGGUAACGGCUCACCUAGGCGACGAUACAUAGCCGACCUGAGAGGGUGAUCGGCCACACUGGGACUGAGACACGGCCCAGACUCCUACGGGAGGCAGCAGUAGGGAAUCUUCGGCAAUGGACGAAAGUCUGACCGAGCAACGCCGCGUGAGUGAAGAAGGUUUUCGGAUCGUAAAGCUCUGUUGUAAGAGAAGAACGGGUGUGAGAGUGGAAAGUUCACACUGUGACGGUAUCUUACCAGAAAGGGACGGCUAACUACGUG